GAUGAAGAACGUAGCGAAAUGCGAUAAGUAAUGUGAAUUGCAGAAUUCCGUGAAUCAUCGAAUCUUUGAACGCACAUUGCGCCCCCUGGCAUUCCGGGGGGCAUGCCUGUCCGAGCGUCAUUUCUGCCCUCAAGCACGGCUUGUGUGUUGGGCCUCCGUCCUCCUCCCGGGGGACGGGCCCGAAAGGCAGCGGCGGCACCGCGUCCGGUCCUCGAGCGUAUGGGGCUUCGUCACCCGCUCUUGUAGGCCCGGCCGGCGCUUGCCGACACAUCAAUCUUUUUUCCAGGUUGACCUCGGAUCAGGUAGGGAUACCCGCUGAACUUAAGCAUAUCAAUAAGCGGAGGA
rnacentral:misc_RNA from 1 species